GAGAAGUUCUAGUUUCCCCAAACUUAAGUUUAUCGACUUCUAAAAUGUAUUUAGAAUUCGUUUUCAAAAUUAGGUUAUGUAAGAAAUUGAAGGGCUUUAGUGUCUAAUUUCUAAUAUAUUUAGAAAACUUCUUAAAAUUACUUUAUUAUUCUUCCCUCUGAUUAUUGGUCUCCAUUCAACUCUUUUCCAAUACCCAAAGCAUUUACAGUGACUUUGUUCAUGGUUUUUUUUAGUUGUUGUUUUGCCUUACUAUUAAGACUUUGACAUUCUGGUCAAAAUGGCUUCAUAAAUCUUUUUCAAGACCACUUUCUAAGUAUUCAUUUUAGGAGAAAGACUUUUUUUAAUGAAUGCAAUUAUAUAGACUUAUUUCAGUUGAACAUGCUGGUUGGUGGCUGAGAGGAGACUCAGCCAGUCAGUGCAGUGAAGGGCUUCUAAGCCAGUCCAUGUGCUCUCUGUGAACUCCCUCUGGCCCUGCUUAUUGUUGAAUGGGCCAAAGACCUGAGACCAGGCUGCUGGUGGGCAGGCCUGGACUUUGGGGCUCCCACCCAGACCUGGGAAGGUAUGGUUGUGGUUUCUGCCACCCAUCCACCUGGCUGCUCAUGGACCAGCCAGUCUCGGCAGCUUUGAAGGAGCGAUUCCACUCUGGACCUCUCCGAAUCCAAGCACCACCAACGCCAAAACGACACCCCCAUCUGUCUAUCCACUGACCUCUGCAUGUGUUGAUACGACUGGCUCCUCGGUGACUCUGGGAUGCCUGGUCAAGGGCUACUUCCCUGAGCCAGUGACCGUGACCUGGAACUCUGGAUCCCUGUCCAGCAGUGUGCACACAUUCCCAGCUGUCCUACAGUCUGACCUCUACACUCUGAGCAGCUCAGUGACUGUCCCCUCCAGCACCUGGCUCAGCCAGACUGUCACCUGCAACGUAGCCCACCCGGCCAGCAGCACCAAGGUGGACAAGAAAAUUGAGCCCAGAGGCACCCCUCCGAAUCCCAACCCCUGUACUCCAUGCAAAGAGUGUCCCAAAUGCCCAGCUCCUGACCUCUUGGGUGGACCAUCCGUCUUCAUCUUCCCUCCAAAGCCCAAGGAUGUACUCAUGAUCUCCCAGAACCCAAAGGUCACCUGUGUGGUGGUGGAUGUGAGCGAGGAUGACAAAGAUGUCCAGAUCAGCUGGUUUGUGAACAACGUGGAAGUACACACAGCUCAGACACAAACCCAUGAGGAGCAGUACAACAGUACUCUCCGGGUGGUCAGUGCCCUCCCCAUCCAGCACCAGGACUGGAUGAGUGGCAAGGAGUUCAAAUGCAAGGUCAACAACAAAGCCCUCCCAGCCCCCAUCGAGAGAACCAUCUCAAAAAUCAAAGGGCUAGUCAGAGCACCACAAGUUUAUGUCAUGCCUCCACCAGCAGAGCAGUUGAGCAAGAAAGACGUCAGUGUGACCUGCAUGGUCAUGGGCUUCAUGCCUGAAGACAUCAGUGUGGAGUGGACCAGCAACGGGCAUAUAGAGGAGAACUACAAGGACACUGAACCAGUCCUGGACUCUGAUGGUUCUUUCUUCAUGUACAGCAAGCUCGAUAUGAAAAAGAGCAAGUGGGAGAAAGAAGCUUCCUUCUCAUGCACCGUGAGACAUGAGGGUCUGCAAAAUUACUACAUGAAGAAGACCAUCUCCCGGUCUCCGGGUAAAUGAGCUCAGCACCCAGAAAGCUCUCAGGUCCUAAGAGACACUGACACCCAUCUCCAUGCAUCCCUUCUAUAAAUAAAGCACCCCACAAUGCCUGGGACCAUGUAA